AUUGAACGCUGGCGGCAGGCCUAACACAUGCAAGUCGAACGAUUCGCGGACGGGUGAGUCAUGUCUGGGAAACUGCCUGAUGGAGGGGGCUAACUACUGGAAACGGUAGCUAAUACCGCAUACCAUCGGAUUUGCCCAGAUGGGAUUAGCUAGUCGGUGGGGUAACGGCUCACCUAGGCGACGAUCCCUAGCUGGUCUCAGAGGCUGACCAGCCACACUGGAACUGAGACACGGUCCAGACUCCUACGGGAGGCAGCAGUGGGGAAUAGUGCACAAUGGGCGCAAGCCUGAUGCAGCCAUGCCGCGUGUAUGAAGAAGGCCUUCGGGUUGUAAAGUACUUUCAGCGGGGAGGCGUUACCCGCAGAAGAAGCACCGGCUAACUCCGUGCCAGCCGCCGCGGUAAUAC
rnacentral:rRNA from 1 species